rnacentral:rRNA from 1 species
UACGGGGGGGGCAAGCGUUGUUCGGAAUUACUGGGCGUAAAGGGCUCGUAGGCAGCCAACUAAGUCAGACGUGAAAUCCCCAGGCUCAACCUGGGAACUGCGUCUGAUACUGGAUGGCUUGAAUCCGGGAGAGGGAUGCAGAAUUCCAGGUGUAGCGGUGAAAUGCGUAGAUAUCUGGAGGAAUACCGGUGGCGAAGGCGGCAUCCUGGACCGGCAUUGACGCUGAGGAGCGAAAGCCAGGGGAGCAAACGGG